AUAUGCCUACAACAUAGAUUUAAUGCAUCAGAUCCCAUUAGAACUCUCGAGUUAAGCAUGCUCACGCUAUAAUAGUAUUGGGAUGGGUGAUUGCCCAAGAAUUCCUAGUGUUUUACAUGCC
rnacentral:rRNA from 1 species